rnacentral:snRNA from 1 species
CAUGUUGAGAGACGUUCCGGGAGAGGAUGGGAAGAAAAUGAGGAAAUACGUCUACGGAAAAUUAUGCGAAGCAUGCGCGUUGAGCCACAUUUACGGUGCCAAGGAAACAACCAUUGAU